rnacentral:rRNA from 1 species
AGAGAUAGAGUUUUCCCCUUCGGGGGACAAAGUGACAGGUGGUGCAUGGUUGUCGUCAGCUCGUGUCGUGAGAUGUUGGGUUAAGUCCCGCAACGAGCGCAACCCUUAAGCUUAGUUGCCAUCAUUAAGUUGGGCACUCUAAGUUGACUGCCGGUGACAAACCGGAGGAAGGUGGGGAUGACGUCAAAUCAUCAUGCCCCUUAUGAUUUGGGCUACACACGUGCUACAAUGGACAAUACAAAGGGCAGCUAAACCGCGAGGUCAAGCAAAUCC